rnacentral:rRNA from 1 species
AUUGAACGCUUGCGGCAGGCCUAACACAUGCAAGUCGAACGAGUGGCGGACGGGUGAGUAAUGUCUGGGAAACUCCCCGAUGGUGGGGGAUAACUACUGUAAACCGUAGCUAAUACCGCAUUCCAUCGGUUUUUCCCAGAUGGGCUUAGCUUGUGGGUGGGGUUACGGCUCACCUGGGCGACGCUCCCUAGCCGGUCUGUGAGGAUGACCAGCCACACUGGACCUGGGACACGGUCCAGACGACUACGUGAGGCAGCAGGGGGGAAUAUUGCACAAUGGGCGCAAGCCUGAUGAAGCCAUGCCGCGUGUAUGAAGAAGGCCUUCGGGUUGUAAAGUACUUUCAGCGGAGAGGCGUUACCCGCAGAAGAAGCACCGGCUAACUCCGUGCCAGCAGCCGCGGUAAUUC